AGCAUAUCACAGCAUAGAAGCUGGGCACCAAGUGUGAACAUCAAAGAAGAGAUCAACUGUUGGGAGCUUACAUACUCUCUCCUAAGGGGAAGGGGAAUGGGAUUACAGGCAACUUUUGAGGAAUAGCAAAUCAUUUUUCGGAGAGUGAAUUAUAUUAUGGGCUUGGAGAAACAUACGGGGGGCCCCCCGGGGCAGACUGCAUUGAGCAUCAGAACAGAAAUGGCUCUCUUUGGAAUAUUGAAUGGGACCAAAAUAGAAGACAAUUGGUGUGUGACAGGCGUCCAUCCAGGUGAGCCGACAGACUUCAGCCUUUCUUCCUGGGACACGGGUUUAGUUGACAAAGCACAGAGGUGAUCGUCUUCUUCCCUGAUAGCUGGACUUUGAGCAGAGAAGGAGAUCUCAACGUGAAACCUCUUCCAUUAUCUGCUGUUUUCCUUAUGGCUUUGUUUUGUUUUGUUUGUUUUCGUUUCGUAGUGCUGGUGAUCAAACCCACAGCCUCCCGUGUCAUACUACAC
rnacentral:lncRNA from 1 species